rnacentral:rRNA from 1 species
GACGAACGCUGGCGGCGUGCUUAACACAUGCAAGUCGAACGGAAAGGCCCUGCUUUUGUGGGGUGCUCGAGUGGCGAACGGGUGAGUAACACGUGAGUAACCUGCCCUUGACUUUGGGAUAACUUCAGGAAACUGGGGCUAAUACCGGAUAGGAGCUCCUGCUGCAUGGUGGGGGUUGGAAAGUUUCGGCGGUUGGGGAUGGACUCGCGGCUUAUCAGCUUGUUGGUGGGGUAGUGGCUUACCAAGGCUUUGACGGGUAGCCGGCCUGAGAGGGUGACCGGCCACAUUGGGACUGAGAUACGGCCCAGACUCCUACGGGAGGCAGCAGUGGGGAAUAGUGCACGAUGGGCGGAGGCCUGAUGCAGCAACUCCGCGUGCGGGAUGACGGCCUUCGGGUUGUAAACCGCUUUCGCCUGUGACGAAGCGUGAGUGACGGUAAUGGGUAAAGAAGCACCGGCUAACUACGUG